UGUGAAACAUAUCAAGUUUUAAGUGAUCCAGUGCGAAGAGAUGCUUAUCAUUGAGAUGGAAAAAAUUACAUAUCUAGGACUACUUGUGGCCGUUUUUAGCCACAACAUUUUAAAGUCAUAUAGGGCACAUGACAAUCUAUGCACCCAGUUUGUAGUUCUAUGGCUCUGGAAACUAUUUACCUUUCACCAAUGGAACCCAAAAAUCUGUUGCUUGAUGUGGAUUGCUUGGUUGGAACGAAAUCGUCGUUCUUUUGAGAACACUGAGAAGACUUUGGAAGAGUUUAAGGUUUUAUACCAACGUAGUCUAUUUGAGUGGUUUGUUGGGGUUUUAUUGAUUGUUCUUCUUUCGCUGGGUUUAUGUUUUCCUGA